CUACGGGACGCAGCAGUGAGGAAUAUUGGACAAUGGUCGAAAGACUGAUCCAGCCAUGCCGCGUGCAGGAUGAAUGCCCUAUGGGUUGUAAACUGCUUUUAUACGGGAAGAAAAACACCUACGUGUAGGUGACUGACGGUACCGUAAGAAUAAGGACCGGCUAACUCCGUGCCAGCAGCCGCGGUAAUACGGAGGGUCCAAGCGUUAUCCGGAAUCAUUGGGUUUAAAGGGUCCGUAGGCGGGCUAUUAAGUCAGAGGUGAAAGUUUGCAGCUCAACUGUAAAAUUGCCUUUGAUACUGAUAGUCUUGAAUUGUAGUGAAGUAGUUAGAAUAUGUGGUGUAGCGGUGAAAUGCGUAGAUAUCACAUAGAAUACCGAUUGCGAAGGCAGAUCACUAACUAUAUAUUGACGCUGAGGGACGAAAGCGUGUGGAGCGAACGGGAUUAGAUACCCGGGUAGUC
rnacentral:rRNA from 1 species